rnacentral:rRNA from 1 species
UGGGGAAUUUUGGACAAUGGGCGAAAGCCUGAUCCAGCAAUGCCGCGUGUGUGAAGAAGGCCUUCGGGUUGUAAAGCACUUUUGUCCGGAAAGAAAUCCUUGGCUCUAAUACAGUCGGGGGAUGACGGUACCGGAAGAAUAAGCACCGGCUAACUACGUGCCAGCAGCCGCGGUAAUACGUAGGGUGCAAGCGUUAAUCGGAAUUACUGGGCGUAAAGCGUGCGCAGGCGGUUUGCUAAGACCGAUGUGAAAUCCCCGGGCUCAACCUGGGAACUGCAUUUGGUGACUGGCAGGCUAGAGUAUGGCAGAGGGGGGUUAGAAUUCCACGUGUAGCAGUGAAAUGCGUAGAGAUGUGGAGGAAUACCGAUGGCGAAGGCAGCCCCCUGGGCAAUACUGACGCUCAUGCACGAAAGCGUGGGGGAGCAAACAGGAUUAGAUACCCUGGUAGUCCACGCCCUAAACGAUGUCAACUAGUUGUUGGGGAUUCAUUUCC